CCUCAUAGUAUGUCCUGUAUACUCAGGGUGAAGGCAGUCACAACAUACUAGUUCCUCUUAGUGAGAAUGUGUCCUGAUAGUGAAAAGAGAAUGUGGGAGAGAGAUAAGUAGUCCACAUUGUCUAGAUGUCCCAGUGUGAAAUAAGCAAUACAAACACAUGAUCAAAACAAACUCUUGCCACAUCAUGCUGCUGUGGAGGAAAUAGGUAGAAACAGAUCUUCCAUUGAUUUUACUGCUGAAAGUUGCAACCAAAAGCAGAAAAAGAACAUUAUAAAAGUGUUUCUGAGCAACAUGGCCUUCUGUCACCCCAUGAUUUGAGUCUGCAUGGCUCUAAGUUUUAAAGCUUGAAGUGAACAGCAGGACAUCAAU